rnacentral:rRNA from 1 species
AGAGUUUGAUCAUGGCUCAGAUUGAACGCUGGCGGCAGGCCUAACACAUGCAAGUCGAACGGUAACAUUUCUAGCUUGCUAGAAGAUGACGAGUGGCGGACGGGUGAGUAAUACUUAGGAAUAUGCCUUUGUGUGGGGGAUAACCAUUGGAAACGAUGGCUAAUACCGCAUAACGUCUUCGGACCAAAGGGGGCCUUGGCUCCCGCGCAAAGAGUAGCCUAAGCGAGAUUAGCUUGUUGGUGAGGUAAAGGCUCACCAAGGCGACGAUCUCUAGCUGUUCUGAGAGGAAGAUCAGCCACACUGGAACUGAGACACGGUCCAGACUCCUACGGGAGGCAGCAGUGGGGAAUAUUGCACAAUGGGGGAAACCCUGAUGCAGCCAUGCCGCGUGUGUGAAGAAGGCCUUCGGGUUGUAAAGCACUUUCAGUUGUGAGGAAAAGUUAGUAGUUAAUACCUGCUAGCCGUGACGUUAACAACAGAAGAAGCACCGGCUAACUCCGUGCCAGCAGCCGCGGUAAUACGGAGGGUGCGAGCGUUAAUCGGAAUUACUGGGCGUAAAGCGCACGCAGGCGGUUUGUUAAGCUAGAUGUGAAAGCCCCGGGCUCAACCUGGGACGGUCAUUUAGAACUGGCAGACUAGAGUCUUGGAGAGGGGAGUGGAAUUCCAGGUGUAGCGGUGAAAUGCGUAGAUAUCUGGAGGAACAUCAGUGGCGAAGGCGACUCCCUGGCCAAAGACUGACGCUCAUGUGCGAAAGUGUGGGUAGCGAACAGGAUUAGAUACCCUGGUAGUCCACACCGUAAACGCUGUCUACUAGCUGUUUGUGGAUUUAAUCCGUGAGUAGCGAAGCUAACGCGAUAAGUAGACCGCCUGGGGAGUACGGCCGCAAGGUUAAAACUCAAAU